rnacentral:rRNA from 1 species
UACGUAGGGUGCGAGCGUUGUCCGGAAUUAUUGGGCGUAAAGAGCUCGUAGGCGGUGUGUCGCGUCGGCCGUGAAAACCUGGGGCUCAACUCUGGGCGUGCGGUCGAUACGGGCAUCACUUGAGUUCGGCAGGGGAGACUGGAAUUCCUGGUGUAGCGGUGAAAUGCGCAGAUAUCAGGAGGAACACCGGUGGCGAAGGC